CUCAGAUUUAUACACAAAUGUAUGAAGAUUUAGAUAUUGUUUUGACAGAAAAAUAUUGUUAUUAAUAAUUAAUAAAAUUAACAAAAUUGAGCAAUGCAAUUGUAUUAAUUAGUAAAAGAUAUAUUUUAAAUAGAUAAAAUGUCCAUUGUGGCUCAUCAUCUUAUUGGUUAAAAAAAAACCAUAAAAUUAGCUUUUAAAGAAAAAAAAUUAUCCCAUAUAUACAACCAACCCGAACAAAAAACUUUGGCAUUGGCGAUUAAAGGCAUGCCAACACAGCAGAAGAAUAUACAGAAACUAGCCAUUGGCGCUCACAAAAUCAAAUGUUUAUAUUGUGGGUCACAACACAAAGCUGCCCUUUUUUCUUCAUUGAAGACACAGACAAACAAAUCUCUUCUUCUUCGUCCUCAAAAAUACCCAUUCUCGUUCCUUCUCUCUUUAAAAACUCCUCCCUCUCUCUCUCAACACUCCUCUCUCUCUCUCUCUCUUUCUCUGAUUCUGUUUGAAAAGCUUGCCGCAUUGUUCUUAUCUUGAGAAUUUCGGUUGGGAAAAGAAGCGGUCAUAUAUCCCUGGCGGGAAUCCAACUUCCCAGCAAGUUUUGAAAAAUGAGAUUGAAAACAGAGCACCGGAAAAUGAAGACUUCAUUUCAUAUCCGGUGAGACCCAGCCAGAGUCUGAGAAAGAGACUCCUACAAAAAGUGAAGAAUGUGGAGACGUUUCAUCAAAGGAAGGAACUUCAUGCUAUCGUCGUUCUAGUUUAGUUAAUAUGAAGAAAAUGCAGCAGAGGAGAACGUGAGAACCAUAAGAGCUUAUGUGACAGAAUUGAAGGAACAUGUUGCCAAACUGCAAUACCAAAAGCAGCUACUUGUUUGUUAUAUAUAGUAUUUGCAGUUCAUUUGGCUACUAUAUUUGCCUGUUAUUUUCAUUUGAAUUUAUGUAGUAACUUAGUAUCAGGAAA